AUUGAACGCUGGCGGCAUGCCUUACACAUGCAAGUCGAACGGCAGCAUGAUCUAGCUUGCUAGAUUGAUGGCGAGUGGCGAACGGGUGAGUAAUACAUCGGAACGUGCCCUGUAGUGGGGGAUAACUAGUCGAAAGAUUAGCUAAUACCGCAUACGACCUGAGGGUGAAAGUGGGGGACCGCAAGGCCUCACGCUAUAGGAGCGGCCGAUGUCUGAUUAGCUAGUUGGUGAGGUAAAGGCUCACCAAGGCGACGAUCAGUAGCUGGUCUGAGAGGACGAUCAGCCACACUGGGACUGAGACACGGCCCAGACUCCUACGGGAGGCAGCAGUGGGGAAUUUUGGACAAUGGGCGAAAGCCUGAUCCAGCAAUGCCGCGUGUGUGAAGAAGGCCUUCGGGUUGUAAAGCACUUUUGUCCGGAAAGAAAUGGCUCUGGUUAAUACCUGGGGUCGAUGACGGUACCGGAAGAAUAAGGACCGGCUAACUACGUG
rnacentral:rRNA from 1 species